rnacentral:rRNA from 1 species
AUGAACAUGGAUGUGCCUGAUUACAAAUUUGUACUCCAUGAAAAUGUUAGUUGGAAGGAAUUGCUGAGUCUAACCAAAUAUUUGAAGUUCGCAAAGGUGCAAGCUAAACUUAUGCAUUUGAUAAAAUCUUUGCAUUGCUUCUUUGUACUGGCCUAUUUUCUUUUGUGUGAUGACCAGCUAGAGUCGAGGACGACUCGUUUUCAAGAGAGGGAGGAUGAUGAGGACAUGGCAACCAUUUAUACAUCCUUGGUCAUCAAAGGAGAAACCAUAAUAUUUCUUGUCAAACGUACACAUUGCCAGGUGAACGCCAACUUAAGUUUAUACUAUAAUCUUGAACACAUGGCUGCACUUUCAUCUCCUUUGUUGUUGGUUGAACUCAGGUGCAAUAUCAAAGAAGGCCAAACACAUUUUAGUCCGUGCAAAACAAUGUUUUAUGGACAAGAAACAAAGUUAGGAAUUCAUGAAGAAUGA